rnacentral:rRNA from 1 species
UACAGAGGGGGCAAGCGUUGUUCGGAAUUACUGGGCGUAAAGGGCGCGUAGGCGGCCUUCUAAGUCGAACGUGAAAUCCCCGGGCUCAACCCGGGAACUGCGUCCGAUACUGGAAGGCUUGAAUCCGGGAGAGGGAUGUGGAAUUCCAGGUGUAGCGGUGAAAUGCGCAGAUAUCGGGAGGAACACCAGCGGCGAAGGCGGCACUCUGGGCUGGAACGUGACGCUGAGGAGCGAAAGCGAUGGGUAGCAA